rnacentral:rRNA from 1 species
AUACGGAGGAUCCGAGCGUUAUCCGGAUUUAUUGGGUUUAAAGGGAGCGUAGGCGGACGCUUAAGUCAGUUGUGAAAGUUUGCGGCUCAACCGUAAAAUUGCAGUUGAUACUGGCUGUCUUGAGUACAGUAGAGGAGGGCGGACUUCGGGGUGUAGUGGUGAAAUGCUUAGAUAUCACGAAGAACUCCGAUUGCGAAGGCAGCUCACUGGACUGCAACUGACACUGAUGCUCGAAAGUGUGGGUAUCAAACAGGAUUAGAUACCCUGGUAGUCCACACAGUAAACGAUGAAUACUCGCUGUUUGCGAUAUACAGUAAGCGGCCAAGCGAAAGCAUUAAGUAUUCCACCUGGGGAGUACGCCGGCAACGGUGAAACUCAAAGGAAUUGACGGGG